UUUUUAGUGUAAAAAUGUACCAUACAAUAUUUGGUACAUACUUACACUAAAA
rfam:Pan troglodytes isolate Yerkes chimp pedigree #C0471 (Clint) chromosome 2B, whole genome shotgun sequence.